UACAGAGGUCCCAAGCGUUGUUCGGAUUCACUGGGCGUAAAGGGUGCGUAGGCGGUCGGGUAAGUCUGAUGUGAAAUCUCACAGCUUAACUGUGAAACUGCAUUGGAUACUAUCCGGCUCGAGGAAUGGAGGGGAGACUGGAAUACUUGGUGUAGCAAUGAAAUGCGUAGAUAUCAAGUGGAACACCAGUGGCGAAGGCGAGUCUCUGGACAUUUCCUGACGCUGAGGCACGAAAGCCAGGGGAGCAAACGGG
rnacentral:rRNA from 1 species